UUAUCGGAAUGAGAACAAUUCAAAUCCUUUAACGAGGAUCUAGCGGAGGGCAAGUCUGGUGCCAGCAGCCGCGGUAAUUCCAGCUCCGCAGGUGUAUAUCUAUGCUGCUGCGGUUAAAAAGCUCGUAGUUGGAUCUGCGUGCUCGGAACUGGUUGGCUCACUGAGUUCAAACUGGUCUCCGCCGCUUUAUUGGCUGGUUUUCCCUUGAUGCUCUUAACCGGGUGUCUUGGGUGGCUAGCACGUUUACUUUGAAAAAAUUAGAGUGCUCAAUACGGGCGUAAAGCCUUGAAUAGUGGUGCAUGGAAUAAUAGAAUAGGACCUCGGCUCUAUUUUGUUGGUUUUCGGAACGCGAGGUAAUGAUUAAGAGGGACAGACGGUGGCAUUCGUAUUGCGACGUUAGAGGUGAAAUUCUUGGAUCGUCGCAAGACGGACGACUGCGAAAGCAUUUGCCAAGAAUGUUUUCAUUAAUCAAGAACGAAAGUUAGAGGUUCGAAGGCGAUCAGAUACCGCCCUAGUUCUAACCGUAAACGAUGCCAACUAGCGAUUCGCAGGCGUUAAACAACGACCUUGCGGGCAGCUUCCCGGAAACGAAAGUGUUCGGGUUCCGGGGGAAGUAUGGUUGCAAAGCUGAAACUUAAAGGAAUUGACGGAAGGGCACCACCAGGAGUGGAGCCUGCGGCUUAAUUUGACCCAACACGGGAAAACUCACCCGGCCCGGACACCGUAAGGAUUGACAGAUUGAGAGCUCUUUCUUGAUUCGGUGGGUGGUGGUGCAUGGCCGUUCUUAGUUGGUGGAGCGAUUUGUCUGGUUUAUUCCGAUAACGAACGAGACUCUGGCCUACUAAAUAGUGGGCGGAUUCUUUCUGUCCGCAACACUUCUUAGAGGGACAAGCGGUGUUCAGCCGCACGAGAUUGAGCAAUAACAGGUCUGUGAUGCCCUUAGAUGUCCGGGGCUGCACGCGCGCUACACUGAAGGAAUCAGCGUGCUUUCUGACCUUGCCCGAAAGGGCUGGGUAACCCGAUGAAAAUCCUUCGUGAUUGGGAUAGGGACUUGCAAUUAUUUCCCUUGAACGAGGAAUUCCCAGUAAGUGUGGGUCAUAAGCUCGCGUUGAUUACGUCCCUGCCCUUUGUACACACCGCCCGUCGCUGCCCGGAACUGAGCUGUUUCAAGAAGAACAGGGACCGUCGUUGAAGGGCCUUAACGGGCUUUUCUCUGAUAGAAACUGUU
rnacentral:rRNA from 1 species